rnacentral:rRNA from 1 species
GAUCAUGGCUCAGGAUGAACGCUAGCUACAGGCUUAACACAUGCAAGUCGAGGGGCAGCAUGGUCUUAGCUUGCUAAGGCUGAUGGCGACCGGCGCACGGGUGAGUAACACGUAUCCAACCUGCCGUCUACUCUUGGCCAGCCUUCUGAAAGGAAGAUUAAUCCAGGAUGGCAUCAUGAGUUCACAUGUCCGCACGAUUAAAGGUAUUUUCCGGUAGACGAUGGGGG